AAAUAGCAAAUUCUCUCAAGACGAUAGAAUUUACCAAACAUUUAAUUUAUACAUCACUUUUGGGGAACUCACCGGGCACUGUAAUGUUAACUCCUUAUUUUCUUCCUUCUUUCAAUCAACAAGUAUUCAUUGAACCUCUGCUGUAUGCCUAGCGCUAUGUUGGGUGCUAGUGUGGAAUACAAAAGGAAAAAAAACCCAACCCAAACCAGGCCAGAGAGCUCCAAGACUGAGGCUGGAGGUGGGGAGCUGAUGAAGUGGACAGGGGCAGUACAUGCAUUAGGUGCUGCAGGCGAGAUGAAUGUGGAAAGGAGCGGCGAGGGAAGGCUUUACGGAGGACAUGGAAGCUUGGUGGGUAAACAGGAUUUUGUUCAUCCUCGGCCAUGUCCAAGGUCAAAGCAAUGAUGAGGCAAGGAAGUCACAGAUGGAGCUGGAAGGGACCUCAGGGGCUGUCCACCCCAGAAAUCUGCAUUUUAUACGUGAGGACAUUGUGAGGCCCAAGGAAGCGACGUGGCUCAUCUACAAUCACAAAAGGCUGCACAGCCCAGGACUCCACAGGACUUUUUCUUCCAUUCAUCCGGGAAGCUCAUGGCACCCCAGGGCUACUUCUCACACUGGAAGAACCCUUCACCCCUCACGUUCUGGUUGGCUGGUCCCUCCCAGGCCUUCCGAUUUAAGGGGGAGGGCCAAGCCAAAGAUGCAUUCAUCCUUCUCCUGGCUGUCCUGCUGACUCAGCUCCAUCUCAACCUUCUUUACCAGGCCCUAGGCUAGGUUCCUUCUAUAACCCCACCCCCCACCCCAGCUCCCUCAUCCCCUGUUAGAAUGGAAGCUCCUUGAAGGGAGGGAAUAUUUGUCUUUCUCCUUCUAUCUAUAUUCCCAGAGUUUAGCCCAGAGCCUGAUUUAUAGGAAGGCUUAAUAAAUGCCUAACUGAC